UUCAUUAAUCAUUCAACUACAUCUUUAUACGAAGAAAGAAAAAUUAUAUUCAACCACAAAUCUAAACAGGAGGAAUUCAACAGGAACAAAGCCUGAUUAAUAUUUCAUUUUUUGCUUCAAGCCGAGAUUGUACAAAUGUGUACCUGGAAACAGCAGUACAAGAACAAAAGAAGGAGAAGUCAGCAGCAGUAAUAACACAGCAACAGCAGAUUCAGCAACACCGCAAACCAGUACAGUAGGAAUAGCAGAAAACCCAGGAGACUAUAAACGACUCCAAGUAUAGAGAAGAAGUAAAAGGCAGGAAGGUUCUGACUAUUUCAGAUCUUAAGCGAGGCAAUGAAGCAGUAGCUAUUCUUUUUCAACUUCAAAACUCUCCAAAAUGAAUUCUGCCCCUGUAUAUUCAGUGUAUCCAGAAUGUAUAUCGGGUGUAUACUUCUCACUCCGCCCCCUCUUUUUUUC
rnacentral:lncRNA from 1 species